AGAGACCAGAAUUGGAAUUAUUUGGAAUGAUACAAGCUAGACCUAUUGCAUGCGAUCUAUUCAUACGUUAUGCAAGGUGCUAUAAGCAUGAGUUUCUCAAGGAUUUCUUUCUUUCUACUGGUCAACUUCAUGAUGUUGCCUACUUGUUGUGGAAAGAAUCAUGGGAAUUAGCAAAGAAUCCAAUGGCAACUAGAGGAUCUCCACUUCAUACUCCACUUAUAAAACUCAUUGAAAAAACUCAAAAUCUUUUUGCUGA